rnacentral:tmRNA from 1 species
GGGGGCGACCUGGUUUCGACGUGGAUCACAAAGCCAUCGGAGCAUGCCGAGGUGCAGUUCUCCUCGUAAAUCCAACUGCAAACUUUUAGUUGCCAACGACGACAACUACGCCCUAGCAGCUUAAUCCCUGCUAGCCUCUCCCCCGGCUCGCCCAUGGGCUGGGAUCCGAGGGGUCAAAUUACAUGGGCUCGCGUGAUGGGGUGCUCGUGACCCGCC